AGGAUUAACGCUGGCGGCGUGCCUAACACAUGCAAGUCGAACGAGGUAGCAAUACCUAGUGGCAGACGGGUGAGUAACGCGUGGUCAACCUACCGUUGAGUGGGGGAUAACUAGCCGAAAGGUUAGCUAAUACCGCAUACGAGUCUUGGGGGCAUCCCUGGGACUUAAAAGGAGCAAUCCGCUCGAUGACGGGACCGCGUCCCAUUAGCUAGAUGGUGGGGUAACGGCCUACCAUGGCACCGAUGGGUAGCUGGUUUGAGAGAGCGACCAGCCACACUGGGACUGAGAAACGGCCCAGACUCCUACGGGAGGCAGCAGUGAGGAAUUUUCCGCAAUGGGCGAAAGCCUGACGGAGCGACGCCGCGUGUGGGAAGAAGGCCUUCGGGCCGUAAACCACUGUCGAAGGGGACGAUAAUGACGGUACCCUUGGAGGAAGCCCCGGCUAACUACGCGCCAGCAGCCGC
rnacentral:rRNA from 1 species